AGUUUUUUGGCAUGUCUGAUUAAUGGUUAGUUUUGAUUCUCUAAAUCUAAUUCUUAUCCAACCCCUCAACAUCAGUGGGUUGGGCAUGCUCAUGCUUGUCUGACAAAUUCUAGUUCCUCUAUUUUUUGGUGACAAAUGUAUCCAGGUUAAUCAUCAAGCUCAUUAGCAGUAAUAACUGGGCCAUUUCAAUCCACUGCAAAUCUAGGAUUAUCAAGAAGGAAGCAAUCAAAGUUUUCUGGUAUAUAUUAGCUUGUCUUUACAGAGAGAAGGUAUUGAGUAUCAUGACUUCACCAAUAUUAAAAUGCGGAAGAUACUAAUUUAGAUUUUUUUAAUUAAAAAUCAUGUUCUCCAUCUUGGUUCUCAUAAGAUCACAAAUUGCAUUAAAGCCCACUCCAACCAUCCCAAACACGUCUAUUUUAGUCAUGUUAAUGAAUCAAUAAGUCUUAAGUGCUCUUUUCAAAUAUUGCAAGGGUUGUGAUUAAAAGUCACAAUGACAGCCACUUCAAAAUCAAUGCUUUAUUGAAGAUCAAGUACAAUCAAAUGCAGUCAAGGAUUCAAGAUUUUUCAAGCCAAAAGAACAGUCAUACAAAUGGAUAGUGGCAGUCCAAAACAACAAAAGAAUAGGGUUAUACACAGUGAAAAUGGAGAAAUACAGUAUAAGGAGAAGCUACGGUGAGGUCAUGAGAAUACCAAUAAACAAAGAAGACAUAGAUAGUCAUAAAGGGAAAAGUACAACUUUAGAGCAACAGUGAUACUGUCAAGAUUAAAUAAAGAUCCAAAUACCUUUACAUAGUAAAAAUCCUUGUUCAUAAGCUCUUAUUAUCAUAUAUCAGAGUCUUGCUUUCAAAAAAGGUCUUUGUCAAAAGAUAGCAGCAAUGAAAAGGUUGCAUGAUCAUUUGCAGAGCAGUGAAAAGAUGUGAUGACAAUCACUAACAGUAAUCACAACAAAAACAAAGAUGCAUCAUAGAGAAGACAUUAAAUUUUUGCAGUCAAAAGACCCCUUCAACCUUAAGAGUAGUGACUAAAAUAUAGUUGUAGUCAAAAGCAUAAAUGGAUCAGUCCUUGGGCUAAAAGCAUAUUUUUUUGAAGUAAAUACAGUCAUUGUCUUAAGAUCUAUUGUAGUGCCCCUUCCUCGAUCAGACUCCGUCUAACUAAGUUUGACUCUGGUUGCUUCCUUCGGUGGUUUUUAUAAACAAUCCUUGAAUCUUUUGUUGCUAUUAAGAGUAACUGUCCCAAAGCCUUGGACUGAGAUUUUACAAGUCAUGAUGGUAACUCAUGAUAAGAUAGUUUCUCUUCCCUUUUUAUGGAUUACUAAUAUCUCUAAGAACCCUCUCUACUCACUGUAUUACCUUAUAUCAUGACGGUUACUGGACAGUGAAUUAAAAUCACUGUAUUUUUAUGGACUGAGUUAUCACCAUACUCAUAGAGGGACUGUAAUGCAAACUCUACAAAUGGCUAUCAUUGGCUACUAUUAUGAUGUUUUGACUUCAUCACUGUGUUGUUCUUCAUGUUGUGACAUGACACUUGCAGCUUAUGCUUUUCAAUAGUCAUAACCCUUAGGACUCUGUCUUUUCUUUCAUGAGCUUGAACCUACAAUUAGCAUCAUUUGUAUCCCUUAGCACUAUUUUUGUCCCUUUAACUGUCCUAAACUAUUCUCCAAUAUUUUAACCUCUUCUAAUGGCUACUCUAUCAUUUGGAUGUCUUGGCAUUAACAUUGUCUCAAGUAUCCAUUCUUAGGGUUUGGAUUGUUAUUUUGUGUGCUCUAUGAUUUCUUAUCAACCCUUUAUCUUUCACUGUCUAAUCUUUCUUUUGGCCUUGUGAUAACAUGUUCCUUAUUCUUGUUGUUGUACCUAUGUUAUGUCCUUUGCUAGGAAUAUUGGUAGCUUGUGGGUUGUUAUUAUGCCACUAUUUUGAUCUUCUUUUCAAGAUGUUAUAAAGACCUUCAAUGACAAAUCCAUUUUUUAUAUAUCUUGCAAUCAUGGUGGUCCAUGAAACCACAUUUCUUUGAGGCAUUCUAUCAAACGGUUCAUGUCCCUUGUCUAUGCUUCCACAUUUAGCACACGUCUACCAAAGAAUUUACAACUAUAAUAUUGGACACAAAUCCCCCUUCGAUUAGGCUUUGAUAGAUGUCCAUACCCUACUCCAUAGCUCCCUAUUUUGGUACAACUAGAAAGGAUGCUAGAAAAGGCCAUAGAAUCUGUCUUUAUGCCAACCAAUUGAAUUUUAUUGAAAGUUUCUAAAGCCUUUUCAACAAAUCCAUUUUUUGCAUAUCUUGCAAGCAUUACUUUCCAUGAAACCACAUUUCAUUGGGACAUUCUGUCAAACAAUUUAAUUACAUGCCUUGUCUAUGCAUUUUAUUUUUACAUACAUGUCUAUGAGUGCAGUCACAACUACAUCUGACAAAAAAUCCCCUUUUAUGCUUUGAUAGAUGACCAUACCUUGUUCCAAUGCUCCCAUUUUGGCACAUGUAGUGAUGAUGCUAGAAAAUGUUUUGGAAUUUUACUUUACACUUGCUAAUUUUAUUUUCUUGAAAGUUUCUAAAGCCUUUUCAACAAAUCCAUUCUUUGUAUAUCCUGCAAUCAUGGUGUGAUGCAGAGACAGCGGUUAGACUCGAAUAAUAGGUCUCAAAUUGAAGGGCUUCUACAAUACAAUCCUCAAUACAACUCAAUUGGGCAUGCUCAUUAAUUUUUCACCAUGGGUUAUUACACAAGACUUAGGUUCUUACACAUAAAGUAUGGAGAGAGGGAAGGCUUGGCAAUGAUUUGUACUAAGACUUGUGGAACCAUGUAACAUUUCCAGGUUUUGGCUUACAAUACCAAAUUCUAGACUUUUAUGACUGCACUAUUUUGUACUAUUUGAGGAUGAGGGUUUCCUCACUUGAUAAAUGUGACUCACUAAUUAAUGAUACCCUUUCCCAAUGUAGUUUUGGAAGCAUUCUAACUCUCAACAAAACAUCUCAGAGAGGCCUCAAGGUGUUUCCAACAAAAGCAAUCAUAAUUGAUCACUGUUUUACAAAAAGGCUAAACUCUAUCCUAAAACAACAGUCACAAACAAAGACACCAAGAUUUUUUGUAAUAUUCAAACUCCAAUGGGAAUGAGUCCCUAGAACCCUUGUACACCAUUAAUAGAUCCCUCAACAAUGAAUGACUUCUACUAUGACAAUGGUUGCAACAUUUACUUGACUGGAAACUCUCACUGUGACAGUCAAUCUUUUAGGAUAGUCAUUAAUACACGAUAGUAGUUUAGGUACAAUUUGCACUACUUAGCCUUUGAGCAUGGUUGUAACUUGUAUUGGCUGAUGAAAUGGUUGUUGGGUAGCAUCUUGUGUUGUGUGAUGUCUCCAUGGAGGCAAGUGCUAUUGCUAUCAUUGGGGCUCUUUUUAUGGUUGUGUUUUUUAUUAGGUCUUCUUGGGUGAUAGAGAAGAGUUUAUAGAUAAGAUAGUGAUUCCCUAAUGAAGCAUAUUAAUGUUAUUGGUUUCUCUAUUAUAUGGUAUGAAGAUUUAUUUGUAGAGAUUUCUUAUAUCUUGUAGAGAUUGUUUUAUAUCCUGUAGAGACUACAUUAUAUCCAUUAGAUGGCUAAUAGCUCCAAAUAACUACUGAUGUAAACUGACCAAGAAGACAAUGUUGGCUAAUCAUUAAUGUUUAAGAUAUUAGAUAGCCAUGCACAUGUGAUAAUUAAGCAUUUACUUGACAUGUGAGAUACAUUCAGGUCAGCCACACAGAAAUUUGCUAACAACUGGGUGGAGCGUCUUUGUGACUGUGAACUAUCAUUGAAAUCAAAUCUACAUCUUUGUUUUGACUGACAAACCUCCAUUCACUGUGAUGGUUCAUUGUCUUUCAAAACUUCAUUUUGAUUUGGGUGCACUACUGCUCUAAGGCAACCUUGAGUGACCCUUGUAUGUCUUUAAGACUUUCAUCCAAGAUGCUAGAACUACACUUUUUCUUUGAUUUGCACUGUGACAAGGCUUUUAUUGACCAAACUCUAGCAUUUAUAGAGUUUCCUUAGCAUCUUAUGACAGUGACAAGGUGCCCCUUGGACUAAAUCCUAUAAUGGAGGUCGUUCUUUGGGUUCUAGACUGCAUUUCUUCAUGGUUUUUCCUUGUUGUGACUACUACAAGGUUUUAUCCCAACUAAUUUGAUAAUUCUCAAAACAUUGAUAUGCUCUGUUAUUUGUAUAGAAACAACAUGCCUUGACACAAAUACCUUGCUCUUAGUGUGGCUACUACUGUUAAAUGCGAAAGGGCCGAUCUCUGAUUUUGGAUUGAUAUUUCCUUAAUGAUUGUUAUUUAGGUCUGUAGCAUGCCUUCCCUUAUUAUGUCGUAAGUUCAAAACCUAAGGACUGAAACCUUUGACCUCUUUAAAUUGCCAUUAUCUUCUCUUGUCAUCUUAUAUCAUUUUCUUUUGAGCCCAAAUGUUUUGAUCAUAACACAUUGGGACCCUUGAAGCCUUUAUCUCAAAUUUAGACUCAUUCACUAUGCUGAUGAUAUUUUAUCUAUGUUGGGACUUUCUCAAUUUUGACUAUCUUUUUCAAAGCCACUCUUGGAAUCUUUGUUUAUAUCCUGUGCUUAGAGUCUUGUAGGUUCUUUGUUUGCAGAGACCUAAAAUAGUGAGCACUUGAGCGUAUUUGACUGCCCUUUUACAUUGUCAUGGGGUUUUGACUGUGAAUAUCCUUUGAGAUCUUAUUCUUACUUUUCUACUAAGGACUCUUUCACUAUUGUUUUUAUGUAUUUUGAUCCCUUGACUGGAAAAGAUAGUAUUUUACUGUUUUUUGAUCCUUCAAACCCUGUCAUCAAUGUUUCCAUGACUGUAUUUUCCUCAAGAUAGACCUUUGUAUCAUCAGUACUAUGCAUGCUUAGGGCUUUGGAUUUGUUGUCUCAGACCUAAAGCCUAAUGAUUUACUCUAUAACUCUGUUUUAAGACUUGCCACUAUGAACAAUGCAUUGUUACUUUUUUUGAUUUGGAUGCCUAAUACCCUUGCCACAUGGAGCCACCAAGCUAUCUCUCCCAUUCCUCUAUUGUGUUGGGAUUGUUGUAGCUUAUUGACAGUGAUAUGACCCUAAAUCUCUGAUAUUUUAGUAUCCAUGGGUAAGUGUGGCUGCUCUAAAUUUUUAUCAUUGGCUUUUUAACUGGUAAAGGAUUCUUCUUAUCUCCGUGCCUUUCUUUGUUAUGGUUGUCUCUACAACAUUUUGCUAUCCAAUUUUCUCUAGCUUGAUAAUUAUGCAACAACACUUGCCUAUAUAUAUCAUUUGCUUCUUUUAGACUGUGAACAAUUCUCUAAAGAGCUACUUUAUUAUAUUGAUAAUCAUUUCACAUCAUGGUGUCAUCUAUUCCUUAUCUUGGUCUUAUGGUUUGGUCUGCAAACAGUACUUUGUACAACACUGUUAACUGUUUCCUUGCAUGUAUUUGUAUUGGCUGCUCUUUAAUUCAUUAAUACUUUGCUUUUGACUACUUAUGAAUGCUUCAGGCUACCCUUUGAAGAUCAUUGCCCAUUUUAUUGAUUCAUACUGUCAUUUUCCUGAUUGUUGCUUCAGCCUGUUAUACAAUCCUGCUUUUCUAAGACAAAAGAUUCUCUGUGUCCUAAUCUUUCUUGAUUGUGUUUUAAUAGAUGUCAUUAUCCUUUGGUAUGAGCCAUUCUUCCCUAGCUUUGAGACAGCAAUAAUGUCUUUUCUCUGUAAUCUAUGUCUAUGCACUGUAAUAGUGGUAAAGAAAUUAUGGUGAUAGCCUUAUGUGGCUUCCUUGAAUCUCUAUAUGAUUGCUCAUCAUUGACUCUAGUCUGCAAUCACAACAUGUGGUUUUAUUGUUCUUGAAAGAUCUAUCUUGAGACCUAACUCUCAUGGAUUGACACUACAUAUGGAAGAAUUCACUGCCUUUUACUUUUAGAUCUUGAAAUCCUUUCUUCUUAAUGUUGGCUAUGAGAUAUUAUCAAGCCUUGUACCGUGUUUUCUUUGCUUUGAUUCAAGGCUGUCACAAACUCUUGAAAACCUUUCCCUUAUUAACUGUCAAAACUGUCUUUAAAUGCAUAUAGACUCACCAUCAUUUUUGUCAAAAGGAGGGAAAACAUUGUUCUUUAUAUUACCAGCACUGUGUGCUCACACCAUGUCAUUGUUAUAUUUACCAUCUGCUAUGAAGCUUAUUAUUAGCUUGAAAGCAUAAUGAGUUGGGAAUUCUCAAAAGUAACCAUAGGCAAUAAGUAUUUCAUGUUCCUUUGAAAACCCCAUAGUACUGAAUUAGGAAUGAAUAAAAGAUGUCACCCUUGACUCCUUAAUCUUGUUUUUCAUGCCUUUAUUUGCUCUGUAGAUACAAAUUUCAUGGUCUUAUCAUUGUAUUUGAUUUUUUCUCACAAUGCUGCAAUCAUUAGGCUUCUUCUUAUGACUGUAAAUCAUUGUCUUAAGACCAUGGGACUGUUAGGACACCAUAUUUACUAUCCUUUACUGUCAAUCCUAUUUGGCCUGCUAUUAUGGGUCAAAUCUUCUUUUUGAAUACAUUAUAACCUGCCAUUAUGACUUUCAUUUGACUUAGAUCUAGAUUUGGCUCUAUCUAUGAUCAGGAUUGGCACAAGUCUUCACUUUUUUCAUAUUUAUUAACUUCUGUAUGAAGACUGUUCUGGCUUGAAAUUUUGGACAAAACAUUCAUUCAUCCAUAAUAGUAUUCUUGCAAAUAAAAGAUUUGAAUCCUUCCUUAUGCAUGCUAGCUGAAGUUCUCUUCGUCAAAUUGAAAAGGGAGGGAUUUAGAAAGAUAAUGACAUAAUGUCGACCUAUUCAAGCUUAUUGUGUGCAUGGUUGUUGCAUGGAAGUAUUUAUUUUAUAGAAAAUCUAAUGUUUUACCUUAUGUUUUACACGCACUUAGAAAAGUACCAUUCAAGCAAAAAAGAUAAUAGCAAUAUUUAUUUUACAGAACAUCUAAUGUUUUACCAUACGUACAUGCAAGGGACCCCUUAACAACAAAACUUGGGAUGGACCACCAAGAGAAAAUAAAAUAUCAAAAAACCUUUAUCGUAGAACUCAAGAAAGAUUAAAGAAAGAAGUGAAUAAAAUGGUAACUAUUAAAUCAAUAUCUUUUGGAACGUUCAAACGUAUAGUUGUCGCGGGAACUCAGGAAGAAGGCAAACAAAGAGACAAGUACAAACAAAAGAAGACAGGUCAUACACCGAUAACGAUCCAGAUAGAAAGCAAUGAACUUCAUUGACAAUAAGAGGAAGGAAGACGAAAGAACAAGCCACACUUGCCAUGCUGUAAGGCCGGUUAUGAAGGAGCUAGCCAUGUUGAAUAAAAAUGGAUAUGAAAUACCAAGAUGAUCUGAGAUGAUAUGAAGGAUGGUUACCUACUACAGAAGGGAUUCUGAUGGCAACAAGCUCUAUAUCACAUGGAAGCCAACUCCAAGAUCAGAACUUGUAAAUGAUGGAUUUGGCUAGUGCCAGAAUAAGCCAUAUAUUAUGAGAUAAACUUUUGUCAGUGAACGCUACAAGUGAUCCGUCAAGCAAUUUACUAUAGCAGUUACAAGUGGAUUCCAUCCUUAGACAUUGCUAUGUUAAGGGCCCCAAAGAAUUUGAGAAAUGCACUAAGGGAGAUGAUGUAUUUCUCUAGCAAUAGAAGUAUGGAUGCUGAAUGAUUUGAAUUCUACUGAGGAUUCUGGAGAAGAUGAUUUUGAGGAUGAAGAAGAGGAUUUUCAGGAAAAUCCCGUGAAAGCAAAAUCAACAAUUAAGACUCCAUGCAGCCAGAAGUCUUUGCUUUCUAUAAAGAAUACAUACAGGGGGGGUUCAUUGGACUAGAAAAAAUAGGGACAAAAAAAAUUCCAGAUAGGGCAAGGUGUCAUCAACAAACUGAUCUUGACAAAGCAAAGGCAACUCUUAUGCUAGCUGGUUCUCCUGGUUCACUGGCUUGCAAAGACAAAGAAAUAGAUGAGGUAACAUGAUUUGCGAUGGGAGCACUAGCUGCUGGAAGCCAAUGUAUGGGUCGAUGUCUUUACAAACAUGGGGUGCCAAGGACUGGAAAGGUAUUUAUGAUGGUGCAUAGACAACAACUGCGAUAACAACUAUGAAGAAGCUUUGGGCUAAAGUUGAUGCUAAGGUUAUUCAUCCCUAUCGAUUUGUAGAGAUAAAUGGGCUUAAACUUGCCCAACCAGAGAAUCUCUACAGGGUAAAGUGGGUUUCUUGAAACUGUUUUAAGUGUUUUAGUCACUAUUGAGUCUGAUGCUCAUCGAUAUCUUUUUCUUCCCUUAUUUUGUAAGUUCUCUAUGAGGCAUUGACUGGACAUAGACUAAGCUGGAAAAAGACCUUUAAAUUUCUAAAUCAACGAUUCUCAUAAUCAAAGCAGACAAGAAAGGCUGCUUGUCCACCCUACAUUCUGCUUAUAGAUGAGCUUGAUCUUCUUGUCACAAGAAAUCAAUUGGUAUAGUAAACACAAUGGAUCUAGCAGAGAAAUUGCUUCCACGUAUAGAAAGUCGUAUGGGAAUGAAAAGAUUAUGCUUUGGUCCCUAUUCUUAUCAGCAUUCGGAGGAGAUUAUUUCAAUUCUUCUAAAUGGAAUUGAGGCAUUUUAAAAAUAGGUUGUUGAGUUUGUUUUACGGAAGGUAUGCAUAUAGUAAUGAAUUUAUUAUUGAUACACUUUACAUAAUACGAUUAAGAGCUUUUCUAGGUUUUUGUAAGAGAUAAGUUGUUUAAACUAAUAGAAUUUUUUCUUUUUGUAUCAUCAAAACAUAUUUUAAAUAAUUUCUUUCUAAAUGAACUUUUGGAUAAACAUGUAUUUCAAGUUGUAGUAGUUUUUGGAGAUGCUCAUUGAGAAUUGGAGCUAUGUAGACAUGUUGUAGAGCUUGUAAAAUUCAGAGUCCAACAGUUGGAUUCUCCUCAAUUUGCUAUCCCAUUGUAGAUUAUCUCCCCCUCUAUGGAUGUUGGAGAUCCUCCUCUUGUGAGCUUGAGCUCCUAGUUUUUGGCUUCUUGACUGUUGGGUUGAUUGGGUCUCUGUUUUGGGCUGCAUCUACAUGGUUGAUUUUUGUUCUCAACUGUUACUUGUAUCAGGGUUGGUAAUGAUCUUCAUGUAUUUGGCUUCUAUAUGUAUUGGGGGACUUUUUGUAUCUUGACUUGUGGGGCCUCUCAUAUGUAAUGGGUUUUUUGGCAUUUUGGGUAGCGUUGGGCUUUUCGUUUUAUGGGCUACAACUGGAGGUUUUCUUCUAGAUUCUUUCCUUCUGGUAUGCCCUUUUGAAUCUAGUUGUAAAUAACUUAAUAU